rnacentral:rRNA from 1 species
CGGCAGCACAGGAGAGCUUGCUCUCUGGGUGGCGAGUGGCGGACGGGUGAGGAAUACAUCGGAAUCUACUUUUUCGUGGGGGAUAACGUAGGGAAACUUACGCUAAUACCGCAUACGACCUACGGGUGAAAGCAGGGGAUCUUCGGACCUUGCGCGAUUGAAUGAGCCGAUGUCGGAUUAGCUAGUUGGCGGGGUAAAGGCCCACCAAGGCGACGAUCCGUAGCUGGUCUGAGAGGAUGAUCAGCCACACUGGAACUGAGACACGGUCCAGACUCCUACGGGAGGCAGCAGUGGGGAAUAUUGGACAAUGGGCGCAAGCCUGAUCCAGCCAUACCGCGUGGGUGAAGAAGGCCUUCGGGUUGUAAAGCCCUUUUGUUGGGAAAGAAAUCCAGCUGGCUAAUACCCGGUUGGGAUGACGGUACCCAAAGAAUAAGCACCGGCUAACUUCGUGCCAGCAGCCGCGGUAAUACGAAGGGUGCAAGCGUUACUCGGAAUUACUGGGCGUAAAGCGUGCGUAGGUGGUCGUUUAAGUCCGUUGUGAAAGCCCUGGGCUCAACCUGGGAACUGCAGUGGAUACUGGGCGACUAGAGUGUGGUAGAGGGUAGCGGA